UCCUCCCCGCCGCCACUUCUCUCUUCCUUGGGAUUGCUCCCGAUCCAAAAUCCACCAACCAGAGCCAAAUCCAGAUCCUCUCUCGCCCUCCGACCACCUCCCUUGUUCUUCGCGCCGCUCCAUUCCUAGCCUCCCACGCCCAGCCGCAUCGAGCGCCCGCAGCUCCAUUCCCGUGCGCCUCCUCUGCUCGGCCUCGCCGCUGUUCCGCCACCCCCAGCAAGCUCCGGUGACCAGCAGGUCCCCAGCGCCGCCCUUUUCCCCUGCCUCCUCUGUUACCUGCUCUUGAUCCCCCUCUCUCUCAUGUCCAUGUCCCUCUCCCCGCCAUGGACAGGUAACACCAAGCCGUCGGCCACUAGGAGCUCAAGACGGUGCCGCCCCAUCGCCUGGAUCCGUUGCUCCGUCCGGCCUCCCUCGCCUCUCCCGCGUCACCGGAGGUCGCCUCCGCCCGCGCAUCUUCGUCCCGGAGCGCCUCCCCGCCAUGGCCGCCCGAACCUGAAGCUCUAUCCUGCCUCGUUCCACGCCUCGGCUCCGGCCAGAACGAAUCGUCCCCGGCCUCCUCGUCAGACCGGUUUCCCCUGUCAAGUCCUUGCGUCGCCUCAGGGACAUGGCGCCGCUCGUUCUUCUGCAAGCUGGAGCAAGGACCCGUAGGACCCCCGCCGUUCGGAUCCGCAACCCCGUGCCUCAUCCUCGUACAUGCCCGGCCGCGCCACCGGAGCCCCGCAGGUCGCCCGCCCGCGAAGACUCUGCUUCCAGUGCGCCGCUUUGUUCGUUCUCUGCCACGUCAAGCUCAAUCCGGUCCCCAUUGACCGCGAGCGUCGGCUGGGUCGCAGCCGCGCGGGCCCAGCUCCCUUUGCCCGCGAGGCCCAGCUCUGCGCGCCCCUGUUGGCCCAAUUUGCAGGUACAGGUUAUGCGAUGAUCAUGACGCGAGAGCGAUGUUGCUUGUUUUGGAGUUCUUCUUCUUUGGCUUCUUCUUUGAUCAGG